UGGGGUGCCCACUAGCUUUAAUAUUUAAGUAUUUAAGUUACUGAUGAUAUUUUCCAGCGAGAUAUCCUAGCUAUGGGAUGCCCACUAGCUUUAAUAUUUAAGUAUUUGAUUUACCGAUGAUAUUAUCCAGCGAGAUAUCCUAGCUAUGGGAUGCCCACUACCCUGCAAUAGAAGCUCCUUUAGUCUUGAAUAUACAUAUAUUCGUCAAGAGAAGAUUGAUAUUGGUUGGGGAAGAGAGGACUUCGAUUUUGCUAUUUCUAUUUGGGCAAAGAAUUUUCAAAUUGAGGACAGCGAAGAGAUAAUAGUGUGUGAUUCAACCUGUCUUUUAGGGGAGGUUGGGGUAAUAUUGGAUUAUAUCUGGGUGUAUCUGUUAUCACUCUUGUGGAUAUUCUAUUCAUUAUACUUUAUA
rnacentral:misc_RNA from 1 species